GAUGAACGCUGGCGGCGUGCUUAACACAUGCAAGUCGAACGAAGCACUUUAUUACGAUUUCUUCGGAAUGACGAUUUAGUGACUGAGUGGCGGACGGGUGAGUAACGCGUGGGUAACCUGCCUUAUACAGGGGGAUAACAGUUAGAAAUGACUGCUAAUACCGCAUAAGCGCACAGGAUUGCAUGAUCUAGUGUGAAAAACUCCGGUGGUAUAAGAUGGACCCGCGUCUGAUUAGCUAGUUGGUGAGGUAACGGCCCACCAAGGCGACGAUCAGUAGCCGGCCUGAGAGGGUGAACGGCCACAUUGGGACUGAGACACGGCCCAAAUCCUACGGGAGGCAGCAGUGGGGAAUAUUGCACAAUGGGGGAAACCCUGAUGCAGCGACGCCGCGUGAGUGAUGAAGUAUUCGGUAUGUAAAACUCUAUCAGCAGGGAAGAUAAUGACGGUACCUGACUAAGAA
rnacentral:rRNA from 1 species